AUACUUGUUUCUCUUAAUGGCACUGGAAGAAUUCACGGUUUUUACACAAUCAUAUCGUCCGUGGAUUCUCCUGUGCCUCGAAGAGCAACUAGAAU
rnacentral:pre_miRNA from 1 species